GCUGGGCACGGUGGCGCACGCCUGUAAUCCCAGCCGCUAGGGAGGCUGAGGCAGGAGGAUGGAGAGUUCAAAGUCAGUCUCAGCCAUUUAGAAAGACCCUAACCAACUCAGUGAGACCCUGUCUCAA
rnacentral:sRNA from 1 species